GAUCCUGGCUCAGAUUGAACGCUGGCGGCGUGCUUAACACAUGCAAGUCGCGCGUGAAAGGACUUCGGUCCGAGUAAAGCGGCGCACGGGUGAGUAACGCGUGGAUGAUCUACCCAUGAGUUAGGAAUAACGGCUGGAAACGGUCGCUAAUACCAAAUACGCUCCGAUUUCAACUUCGGGGGAAAGGUGGCCUCUGCUUGCAAGCUACUGCUCAUGGAUGAGUCCGCGUCCCAUUAGCUAGUUGGUGGGGUAACGGCCCACCAAGGCGACGAUGGGUAGCCGGUCUGAGAGGAUGACCGGCCACACUGGGACUGGAACACGGCCCAGACUCCUACGGGAGGCAGCAGUGGGGAAUAUUGCGCAAUGGGCGAAAGCCUGACGCAGCGACGCCGCGUGAGGGAUGAAGGUCCUCGGAUCGUAAACCUCUGUCAGGAGGGAAGAACCGCCACGGUGCUAAUCAGCCGUGGUCUGACGGUACCUCCAAAGGAAGCACCGGCUAACUCCGUGCCAGCCGCUGC
rnacentral:rRNA from 1 species